rnacentral:rRNA from 1 species
CCCUACGGGGCGCAGCAGGCGCGAAAACUUUACAAUGCGGGAAACCGUGAUAAGGGAACUCCGAGUGCCCGUAAAUUCGGGCUGUUAAUCUGUGUAAAUAACAGGUUGAGAAAGGGCCGGGCAAGACCGGUGCCAGCCGCCGCGGUAAUACCGGCGGCUCGAGUGGUGGCCACUAUUACUGGGCUUAAAGCGUCCGUAGCUGGGUUGUUAAGUCUCUGGGGAAAUCCACCGGCUCAACCGAUGGGCGUCUCAGGGAUACUGGCAGCCUAGGGACCGGGAGAGGUGAGAGGUACUCCAGGGGUAGGAGUGAAAUCCUGUAAUCCA